GGGGGGGGGGGGGGGGGGGGGGGGGGGGGGGGGGGGGGGGGGGGGGGGGGGGGGGGGGGGGGGGGGGGGGGGGGGUCGGCAGCCGGGGGCGGCGGCGCGGCGGGCGAGCAAUGCCCCUCGCUCCUCUGCUUACGCUGCCCUUCCUCCUUCUCCUCACGCUCCCGGCUCUGAAGCUUUUGUUUACCCCGGCCACUGUGAUGGCAGGAAACUUCCCGGAGGGAUGGGCUCAGGCCGGGCUUGUGCUGCGCCGGGCUCCGCAGGGCUCCGGUCGCAUCGUGAGUUUAUUUGGGAAGACAAUAAUUAGCUGA
rnacentral:lncRNA from 1 species